CAACUAAAGGCUUAGUCCUGGUCUUCCUAUUAGCUGUUACCCGAUUUAUACAUGCAAGUAUCUGCGAACCCGUGAGACCACCCUACAUAGUCCGACAGACAAAUGGAGCCGGCAUCAGGCACAUCAACCAAUAGCCCAAGACGCCUAGCACAAGCCACACCCCCAAGGGCCGCAGCAGUGAUUAACUUUAAAACCUAAGCGAAAGCUUGAUUUAGUUAGGGUAAGACAGAGGCGGCCAAAUUCCCGUGCCAGCAGCCGCGGUUAGACAGAGACCUCAAGUUAACAGGCCCCGGCGUAAAUUGUGGCUAGGUCCAAUAUCUCCCCCAUUAAGGCGAAGGUGGCCCAACAGCAGUCAUAAGCCUACUAUGCCACAAAUACCAACACAAAAGUGGCCUUAGUCUAAAAGACGUAUCCGACCCCACGAAAGCUAAGAAACAAACUGGGAUCAGAUACCCCACUAUGCUUAGCCCUUAACAAAGGUGUACCCCACACAUCCUACACCCGCCAGAUGAUUACGAGCCAAGCUUAAAAUUCAAAGGACUUGACAGCACUUCAAAUCCACCUAGAGGAGCCUGUCCUAUAAUCGAAAGUACACGAUUCACCUAACCACCCUUAGUUAUCCAGUUUGCAUACCGCCGUCGCAAGCUUGUCUCGCUGAGAGAAAAAAAAUGAGAAAAAUAACCCCCCCCCCGCUAAAACGUCAGGUCAACGCGCAGCUAAUGGGGUGGAAAGGAUGUGCUACAUUUUCUAACACAUAGAAAUACGUGACGGAACGUCCCGUGAAACCGGGACUGUUUAAAGCAGAAUCUAGUAGUAAGUCAGGAAAAGAACGCCUAGCUGAAAAAGGCCCUGAAGUGUGUACAUACCGCCCGUCCCCUCUUCGAGCCCAACAGUAAACGCCACUACACCUUAGUAACAGGCGCUAAAUACCGGUAAGAUGGGGUAAGUCGUAACAAGGUAAGCGUACCGGAAGGUGCUCUUGGAACAU
rnacentral:rRNA from 1 species